AGAUUAUAUAAUAUUUUUAUUAUGCACAUAGAUAUCGCACAAACCGAAUAAGCAUUGUCACCGUGUGACUGUUUGAUGUAUUUACAUUUUUAAGUAGCUCAUUUGAUUGUCAAAUGAGCUUUCUGGGGUAAAAAAAUUCACUUUCAAGGUGAUAAUACCGCUAAGUGACCUUACUAAUUAAUCACAUAGUUGUGGUAAUAAAGAAACUUUUUACUGCUACGGGUACCCUUUUAGAAUAAUAGGAUCACGUUUCUAUCUAAUGUAUGAACAUAUAUUUUAUACUUUACGAGGUUAUAUUAAUGUUACUUUCUCCUAAUUUAAUCGGCCAUUAAUAAUUAAUAGCUCAUAUAUGUCAAGUUUUAUAUGUCAACAAACAUAUAUAUCGUGUGUUUUAUACGUAUUAUUAAAAUAAUAACUGGUAUAUAAUGAUUUAUUUAAUAAGGAUAAUUUUCAUUUUAUGAGCAUUUUACACAUCAGAUUCUAAUGCAAUCUUUUAAUAAUUAUGAAAGAUAGUGAUCUAAUUAUAUAAUAUAGUGUAAUUAUAUAAUAAUACAUAUAAUAAUACAAUUACAAAUAUAUUGCCAGAUUGAUGAUAUCUAAUCUUAUUAAAACUUACACCAACAAUUUUAUAAAACACAUUACAAAUAACAGCUUCUAAAACAAAUUAAUGUCUAUUUUUCUUUCUAUCUAUGUAAUUCCUUAUCAAAGUUUUUGAAAAAAGAUAUAUUCGUAUGUAUAAAAAUCUACUUUACUGUGUAAGAUGAUAUUCUAUUUUACUUGCAUUCUUCUUUCAGAAUCAGUAAAUAUUAUGGAAUCGGUAAUAAAUGUUCCUAUUAUAGCUGUUCGAGAAUUAAAUACUACCAUGUAAAUAUCUGACAUCAAUCUAGAAACCAAUAUUUUGCAUUGAAGAACAAGAAAGGAGAAUCUAUGUCAAGUCUAACUAUUAUAAAAUGAAUAAAGCAUAAGAAGAUCAAAUACUAAAAGACGAAUCUACUAAUUUUCUUGUAACAAAAUGCAAUUCAAUGUCCGCACGGUUCUAAUUUAUCCAAUGUAUGUCACAUGCCUUUUCACUGUGGAAUGGAAUGCAGAACGAGUGCACCAAUAUUUUAUGAAGAGUAUAAAUAUUAAGAAAAGACAUUCAUGAGAGAUGGUUGUAUGCCAACAUAUCAGAGACAGAAUAAAUAAUUAAUUUGUCACAAAA